GCGGGUGUAGCUCAGUGGUAGAGCGCUACCUUGCCAAGGUAGAUGUCGUGGGUUCGAACCCCAUCACCCGCU
rnacentral:tRNA from 1 species